AGGUCCACCACUAUAUAAACUGUAUGAUCUUGGGCAAAUCCAACGUCGUCUCUGAGCCUCAGUUUCUACAUCUGAAAAAUAGGGAAAAACAAUAGACGCCUCCCAGGGUCACUGAAAGAAUUAACAAGAUAACAUAUGCUAAGAGUUUCAAGGGCCACGGGAAGGAGAGGGAUCGGGGCCAUUACAUUUCAUCUUUAAAUUGACUUACCAUGGGUCUCGUCUACACUGGAAGGUGCAUGAGGUCAUCACAAAGCUACUGGGAAAUCGGGGAGCCAGAGUGGAUGUCUGGGAGCCUGGGAGUCCAGGGGAGAGCAGAGAGCCUGGAAACGGAGGAAAUCCAGCGUGGAGAAGAGCAAUUUUGCUGUGAUGCUCUAUGUGCCCCACUAAAUACCCUCUCCACACCUGCCCUGCCAAGCCAGCGUGUACAGCAUCACGCUGUCGGAUUGUCCUCAAGAUGUUAUUGCCAGCCAGCAAGAUGGUGUUCAUUUACCCCGGCUGAUACGGAUCUCUGUUAGUCUACAUACCCUCAGCGUCACAAGCCAAGACUGCAAACUAGUGGCCCUCGAGGGCUGAACUGGGUGUCAUUCUUGCUCAACUGAUCUUUGCCACCGUUAGUCAUCGGGAGAGCUCGCGUAACUGGAUGUCCACAUGGAAGUUCAGAUCUGGCCACACACGGCUGCCCCUCACAACAUCUCUCAGCCAUCAGGGAGGAGCUGUGACAUCUGCUGCCUUUUUAGAAGCUUGACCCCAAGUUCUCCACGAACUACCCUCCCAUCU
ensembl:lncRNA